rnacentral:rRNA from 1 species
ACGAACGCUGGCGGCGUGCUUAACACAUGCAAGUCGAGCGAGGAGCUUGCUCCUAGCGGCGAACGGGUGAGUAACACAUGGGCAACCUGCCCCGAGCUCUGGAAUAACCUCGGGAAACCGGGGCUAAUGCCGGAUAUGACAUCGCAGGGCAUCUUGUGGUGUGGAAAGAACUUCGGCUCGGGAUGGGCCCGCGGCCUAUCAGCUUGUUGGUGGGGUGACGGCCUACCAAGGCGACGACGGGUAGCCGGCCUGAGAGGGCGACCGGCCACACUGGGACUGAGACACGGCCCAGACUCCUACGGGAGGCAGCAAGCGGGGAAUAUUGCGCAAUGGGCGAAAGCCUGACGCAGCGACGCCGCGUGAGGGAUGACGGCCUUCGGGUUGUAAACCUCUUUCAGCAGGGACGAAGCGUAAGUGACGGUACCUGCGAAGAAGCACCGGCCAACUACGUGCCAGCAGCCGCGGUAAUACGUAGGGUGCAAGCGUUGUCCGGAAUUAUUGGGCGUAAAGAGCUCGUAGGCGGCCUGUCGCGUCGGCUGUGAAAACCCGGGGCUCAACCCCGGGCCUGCAGUCGAUACGGGCAGGCUAGAGUCCGGUAGGGGAGACUGGAAUUCCUGUGUAGUGGUGAAAUGCGCAGAUAUCAGGAGGAACACCGGUGGCGAAGGCGGGUCUCUGGGCCGGAACUGACGCUAAGGAGCGAAAGCGUGGGGAGCGAACAGGAUUAGAUACCCUGGUAGUCCACGCCGUAAACGUUGGGCGCUAGGUGUGGGGGACCUUCCACGGCCUCCGUGCCGCAGCUAACGCAUUAAGCGCCCCGCCUGGGGAGUACGGCCGCAAGGCUAAAACUCAAAGGAAUUGACGGGGGCCCGCACAAGCGGCGGAGCAUGUGGCUUAAUUCGAUGCAACGCGAAGAACCUUACCAGGGCUUGACAUGCGGAGAAAUCUCGUGGAGACACCGGGGUCCGUAAGGGUUCCGCACAGGUGGUGCAUGGCUGUCGUCAGCUCGUGUCGUGAGGAUGUUGGGUUAAGUCCCGCAACGAGCGCAACCCUCGUCCUAUGUUGCCAGCGAGUCAUGUCGGGGACUCAUAGGAGACUGCCGGGGUCAACUCGGAGGAAGGUGGGGAUGACGUCAAGUCAUCAUGCCCCUUACGUCCUGGGCUGCACACAUGCUACAAUGGCCGGUACAAAGGGCUGCGAUGCCGUGAGGUGGAGCGAAUCCCCAAAAAGCCGGUCUCAGUUCGGAUCGGGGUCUGCAACUCGACCCCGUGAAGUCGGAGUCGCUAGUAAUCGCAGAUCAGCAUUGCUGCGGUGAAUACGUUCCCGGGCCUUGUACACACCGCCCGUCACGUCACGAAAGUCGGUACCACCCGAAGCCGGUGGCCCAACCCUUGUGGGGGGAGCCGUCGAAGGUGGGACCGGCGAUUGGACG